GAUGAACGCUGGCGGCGUGCCUAAUACAUGCAAGUCGAGCGAACAGACGAGGAGCUUGCUCCUCUGACGUUAGCGGCGGACGGGUGAGUAACACGUGGAUAACCUACCUAUAAGACUGGGAUAACUUCGGGAAACCGGAGCUAAUACCGGAUAAUAUAUUGAACCGCAUGGUUCAAUAGUGAAAGACGGUUUUGCUGUCACUUAUAGAUGGAUCCGCGCCGCAUUAGCUAGUUGGUAAGGUAACGGCUUACCAAGGCAACGAUGCGUAGCCGACCUGAGAGGGGGAACGGCCAAACAGGAACGGGAAAAAGGGCCAAAACCAAACGGGGGGCAGGAGUAGGGAAUUUUCCGAAAAGGGAGAAAGCGUAACGGAAAAACGCCGGGGGAGGGAAGAAGGUUUUAGGAAUGGAAAAAUUUUUUAUGAGGGAAAAAAAAAUGUGGAAAAAAAUAUGCAAGUUGUGAAGGUAAAAAAGAAAAAAGCCAAGGAUAACUAAGU
rnacentral:rRNA from 1 species